GCCAGGUGUGGUGGUGGGCGCCUGUAGUCCCAGCUACUCGGGAGGCUGAGGCAGGAGAAUGGCCUGAACCCAGGAGGUGGAGCUUGCAGUGAGCUGAGAUCAGGCCACUACACUCCAGCCUGGGUUACAGAGCAAGACUGUCUCAAAAAAAAAAAAAAAAAAGUAAUAAUAAAUAAAAAUAAAAAAUACUGAGUAGUUCACUAUUUUUUUUUUUUUUUUUUUUGAGACGGAGUUUCGCUCUGUCACCCAGGCUGGAGUGCAGUGGCGUGAUCUCGGCUCACUGCAAGCUCCACCUCCUGGGUUCAGGCCAUUCUCCUGCCUCA
rnacentral:SRP_RNA from 1 species